GCCUAGCCGUAAACAAUUUAUUUACAUAUUCUAACGCCCGGGUAUUACGAGCAAUGCUUAAAACCCAAAGGACUUGACGGUGUCCCACCCACCUAGAGGAGCCUGUUCUAUAAUCGAUAAUCCCCGCUUUACCUAACCAUUCUUUGCCUAAUCAGUCUGUAUACCUCCGUCGAAAGCUUACCAUAUGAACGCCCAUAGUAAGCCUAAUGGUCUCUCACCAACACGUCAGGUCAAGGUGCAACUUAUAGAAUGGAAAGAAAUGGGCUACAAUUUCUAAGAUAGAAUAAACGAAAGGCUGCCUGAAACCCCAGUCAUGAAGGAGGAUCUAGUAGUAAAAAGAGAACAGAGAGCUCUUCUUAACUUGGCACUGAGACGCGUACACACCGCCCGUCACCCUCUUCAAUAGUUUUUCGUUUAGAUUAUUAACAAAUUAGCUACGCCUU
rnacentral:rRNA from 1 species